GCCGCAGUAGCUCAGUCGGUAGAGCACAUCAUUCGUAAUGAUGGGGUCGGGGGUUCGAUUCCCUUCUGCGGCACCA
rnacentral:tRNA from 2 species